rnacentral:rRNA from 1 species
AUGUGGUUCAGAGCCGCGCUGAGUACACCAAUGGGGAUUGUGACAGAGCAUUCUCUGCUGUCACGUGAUUCAGUGUCCGAAACACAAGAAUUGGAGGAUAAUGAGGAUCAAGUUGGUCGUCGAGAUGAUCGCGUCGACAAUAUUUCUGGUGACGGUAAGCGUAGGGGAACAUCCUUACCGGCUGUUUGGAACAUGCCAGAUGGUGCGCGGAUAGUUGUAAAAUGCAAUCAUCUUGGCCAGCCUAUUGGGGACGAAGGUGGAGUCCUGGGGAAAUUUCUUGGCACAAUAGCUAGACUUGGGGGUUAUUGUCCACUUGACAAAAAGGACUGGCUUAAUGUCAAGAAGGAUGGUGGGGCUGACACAAUACUUCAGUGUGUACAGACAAAGUUCUUGUACCCUGCUAAGUGUGACAAGUGGAUACUAAAAACUACCGGGCGAGAUUGGAGAAGAUUUAAGGCUGGUCUGAAGAAAAUUUUCUUUAAUGCAAACAAGAAAAGAAAAUCUUUGUAUAAGCUUUGUCCAGAAUAUGUGGAUAGUGACCAAUGGCGUGAACUUGUCAAAUUUUGGAAGUCUAAGGAAGGAAGGGCAGUAAGUGAGAAGAACAAAAUAAGUCGUACAAAGGUGAAGACAACUCAUACAGCAGGGACAAAGAGUUUUGCUCCUUGGGCUGAGGACCUUCGUCAAGAGGACCCUGAGAAGAAACAACCACAUAGAGCGAAGGUUUAUUUAGCGACUCACAGAAAACCAAAAAAGGCCAAAGAUAAAAAUAAGUUUGUGGUUGAGUUGGAAAAUGUAAUUGAUGAACAACCAGAGUUGGCACAAAGUGACCAGGGAAGAGUUGCAUGGAAAGGUGAUGCCUUGCACAAAGUUUUGGGGAAUGAAAAGCCUGGACAAGUACAUGGAAUGGGCUUGCUUCCUGUUCCUAACGAAGUUUAUGGUCGAAAACCUCGUUAUCUCAAGAACAUCAAUAUGACCACAACAAAUGGUUCAUCACAUGAUGAAGAGGCUGAUGCUAGGGAGGAAAUAGCAAAGCUAAAGCAACGCAUAGAACAGCAAGACCAAAUCAUUGAUGCAUUAGAAAACAAAGAUGAAGUGUGUGGGACGAACGAAAUGGCAACGGAAAAUUUCCAAACCGUAGGUAAUGGUGAAUCUCAUCCAGAAGUACUACAUAAUAAUAAAAGAAAGAGAGUUCAUGCCAAUGGACCUGAUGCAGAACACAUAGUGGUCAAUCCCAGAGAUACAACAAUGAAGCAUCAUCUUGAAAAUGAGGGUUGCAAUAAAUUCUCAUAUCAAGUACCAUCAUCACCAGCCCAUGUUGUUUUUGAUAGAGAGGUAAUGGUUAUCUCAAAUCUGCUUGCUAAGCAUUGA